UGCCAGCAGCCGCGGUAAUACGAAGGUCCCAAGCGUUGUUCGGAAUAACUGGGCGUAAAGCGUGUGUAGGCUGCGCGGAAAGUCAAAUGUGAAAGCCAAGGGCUCAACCCUUGAACUGCAUUCGAUACUCCCGUGCUAGAGUAAUGGAGAGGUAAGUGGAAUUCCUGGUGUAGCAGUGAAAUGCGUGGAUAUCAGGAGGAACAUCAAUGGCGAAGGCAACUUACUGGACAUUUACUGACGCUCAUGGACGAAAGCCAGGGGAGCGAAAGGGAUUAGAUA
rnacentral:rRNA from 1 species